rnacentral:rRNA from 1 species
CUACGGGAUGCUGCAGUGGGGAAUAUUGCACAAUGGAGGAAACUCUGAUGCAGCAACGCCGCGUGGAGGAUGACACUUUUCGGAGCGUAAACUCCUUUUAUAUAGGAAGAAGAUGACGGUACUAUAUGAAUAAGCGCCGGCUAACUCCGUGCCAGCAGCCGCGGUAAUACGGAGGGCGCAAGCGUUACUCGGAAUCACUGGGCGUAAAGAGCGUGUAGGCGGAUUAAAAAGUCAGAAGUGAAAUCCUAUAGCUUAACUAUAGAACUGCUUCUGAAACUCUUAAUCUAGAAUAUGGGAGAGGUAGAUGGAAUUUCUGGUGUAGAGGUAAAAUCCGUAGAGAUCAGAAGGAAUACCGAUUGCGAAGGCGAUCUACUAGAACACUAUUGACGCUGAGACGCGAAAGCGUGGGGAGCAAACAGGAUUAGAUACCCCUGUAGUC